ACCCCGGCGAGGGGAGUGAAAAAGAACCUGAAACCGUGUACGUACAAGCAGUGGGAGCCUACUUGUUAGGUGACUGCGUACCUUUUGUAUAAUGGGUCAGCGACUUAUAUUCUGUAGCAAGGUUAACCGUAUAGGGGAGCCGAAGGGAAACCGAGUCUUAACUGGGCGUUAAGUUGCAGGGUAUAGACCCGAAACCCGGUGAUCUAGCCAUGGGCAGGUUGAAGGUUGGGUAACACUAACUGGAGGACCGAACCGACUAAUGUUGAAAAAUUAGCGGAUGACCUGUGGCUGGGGGUGAAAGGCCAAUCAAACCGGGAGAUAGCUGGUUCUCCCCGAAAGCUAUUUAGGUAGCGCCUCGUGAACUCAUCUUCGGGGGUAGAGCACUGUUUCGGCUAGGGGGCCAUCCCGGCUUACCAACCCGAUGCAAACUACGAAUACCGAAGAAUGUUAUCACGGGAGACACACGGCGGGUGCUAACGUCCGUCGUGAAGAGGGAAACAACCCAGACCGCCAGCUAAGGUCCCAAAGUCAUGGUUAAGUGGGAAACGAUGUGGGAAGGCACAGACAGCCAGGAUGUUGGCUUAGAAGCAGCCAUCAUUUAAAGAAAGCGUAAUAGCUCACUGGUCGAGUCGGCCUGCGCGGAAGAUGUAACGGGGCUAAACCAUGCACCGAAGCUGCGGCAGCGACGCUUAUGCGUUGUUGGGUAGGGGAGCGUUCUGUAAGCCGUUGAAGGUGGCCUGUGAGGGUUGCUGGAGGUAUCAGAAGUGCGAAUGCUGACAUAAGUAACGAUAAAGCGGGUGAAAAGCCCGCUCGCCGGAAGACCAAGGGUUCCUGUCCAACGUUAAUCGGGGCAGGGUGAGUCGACCCCUAAGGCGAGGCCGAAAGGCGUAGUCGAUGGGAAACAGGUUAAUAUUCCUGUACUUGGUGUUACUGCGAAGGGGGGACGGAGAAGGCUAUGUUAGCCGGGCGACGGUUGUCCCGGUUUAAGCAUGUAGGCGGAGGU
rnacentral:rRNA from 1 species